CGGGUAGAGUAACGCGUGGAGAACCUGCCGUAUACUGGGGGAUAACACUUAGAAAUAGGUGCUAAUACCGCAUAAGCGCACAGCUUCGCAUGAAGCAGUGUGAAAAACUCCGGUGGUAUACGAUGGAUCCGCGUCUGAUUAGCUGGUUGGCGGGGUAAAGGCCCACCAAGGCGACGAUCAGUAGCCGGCCUGAGAGGGUGAACGGCCACAUUGGGACUGAGACACGGCCCAAACUCCUACGGGAGGCAGCAG
rnacentral:rRNA from 1 species